rnacentral:rRNA from 1 species
UACGUAGGGGGCAAGCGUUGUCCGGAAUCAUUGGGCGUAAAGAGCGUGUAGGCGGCUUGGUAAGUCCGCUGUGAAAGUCCAGGGCUCAACCCUGGAAAGCCGGUGGAAACUGUCAAGCUUGAGUCCGGAAGAGGCGAGUGGAAUUCCUGGUGUAGCGGUGAAAUGCGCAGAUAUCAGGAGGAACACCAAUGGCGAAGGCAGCUCGCUGGGACGGUACUGACGCUGAGACGCGAAAGCGUGGGGAGCAAACAGG